AAGAAGCCUCACUUCGUUCUUGCUCUCAACUCUCAAGCUUCGCUUCUUUUUCUCCGGCAUCAAGGCUCUUCGUCCCUUUUCGUUCUCCAUGAACCCUAGUCCCUUCCGAGGUAUCGAGGCUGAAAUGAUCUUCAUGGCCUCACGGAUUCCUUCUUCUCCGAAAAUCAGGGUUUGAUCAAGAGUGGGAAGGAGACAUGAAGCGGAGGAAAAUCUUUGUCGAUGCUCUUGCUAAGCUUCUGCAUCGCGAGUUUGGUUUUGAUCCAAGGGAUUUACAGUUUCGCAUCAGAUAACCACGUUUAUCAGGCGAUGAUCAUGAUAUUGCCUUUGGGUGUGUCUUAAGUCUAUUAUCUAUAUCUGUUAGAAUAUUCAAAGAUAAGUGGAAAUUUUUUAGCCAAUUUGUGAGCUCUUUACUAACAAUUUCAUGGCUUGAUGUGUUGGUGUCCUGCAACUUGUUGCCAAUGAAUGCUUUGUGGCAUAUUACAUUGUCCUUUCUGACUAAUGUUUCCUUUUAAACUUAUUUUAAUCUCUGGACAGAUAUAAUGAGGUGGUACCAGCAUGAUUGAAGCAGAGCAUAUUUUGCUUAGAAAUACACUAAAGGAUCCAUUUGAUGAUAGAUUUGCUUUUGUAUAUGAUAGGAGAUCACCACCAAAGUUUUCACAGCAUCAUCUUAUUACUCAUGGUGACUAGUGGUUUAUAUGUGUGUAUACAUGUGCAAUUUGGUGCUGCUUAUACCAAGGCAUUUUGAAUACACAAAGGCAAGCAUGCAUUAAACAUCUAUUCAUAAAAUUAAGCUUUACGUAAAUUGAUGGGUUGAGCGGGGCAGGGCUAAUUCCAUGAGGAAUAUUGGUUAUUUGAUAGCUCUUGUUAUUUGUUAGUUUGUCAUCUUAUAUGCUUCUCAUAAUCUUGUCUAGCCAAUUUUUUUUCCCAUUGUCUGGCUUUGUUUUGUGUUUUCACUUAUCAGCGAAGAGUACUUGGAAGGGAUAGGUGUGAUAUACAGGCUUUGAGAUGGUACUCCUGCUCUUAUGGAAAUUAUCGAAGGUUUGAUCGACAGUGGGAAGGAGACAUGAAGGGGAGGAGUUCUUGUGAGUGUUGAGGAAUAUCUUUGGCAAUGCUCUUGCUGAGCUUCUGCAUCACGAGUUUGGUUUUGAUUCAAUGGUUUUGCAGUUUUGCAUCAAGUAUGUAUUUUUUUCAUAGAGCAGAAUCGACUCCCCUGGACUUGGUCUGGGAUGCCUUCUUCAAGGAGGGCGAGGAGGCGGUUAGCUUUGUCUUAAAUGAGAACACAACAAGGUCUGCACGCUUUUGUGGCCGUCCGGUCAACAGCAGUGUACAGGUUUGUGAUUUUAUCAUGUUAAAUUAUGUGGUAUCUUGACUCAAGAAUCAAGAGUUGAGAACUUCCCACUAUCCUGCUAUGUAGUUUGUUCUUUUUGUCUUUUUA